rnacentral:rRNA from 1 species
AGGGUGCAAGCGUUAAUCGGAAUUACUGGGCGUAAAGCGCACGCAGGCGGUCUGUCAAGUCGGAUGUGAAAUCCCCGGGCUCAACCUGGGAACUGCAUCCGAAACUGGCAGGCUAGAGUCUUGUAGAGGGGGGUAGAAUUCCAGGUGUAGCGGUGAAAUGCGUAGAGAUCUGGAGGAAUACCGGUGGCGAAGGCGGCCCCCUGGACAAAGACUGACGCUCAGGUGCGAAAGCGUGGGGAGCAAA